AACGAACGCUGGCGGCAUGCCUAACACAUGCAAGUCGAACGAGACCUUCGGGUCUAGUGGCGCACGGGUGCGUAACGCGUGGGAACCUGCCCUUAGGUUCGGAAUAACUCCCCGAAAGGGGUGCUAAUACCGGAUAAUGUCUUCGGACCAAAGAUUUAUCGCCUUUGGAUGGGCCCGCGUUGGAUUAGCUAGUUGGUAGGGUAAAAGCCUACCAAGGCGACGAUCCAUAGCUGGUCUGAGAGGAUGAUCAGCCACACUGGGACUGAGACACGGCCCAGACUCCUACGGGAGGCAGCAGCGGGGAAUAUUGGACAAUGGGCGAAAGCCUGAUCCAGCAAUGCCGCGUGAGUGAUGAAGGCCCUAGGGUUGUAAAGCUCUUUUACCCGGGAUGAUAAUGACAGUACCGGGAGAAUAAGCUCCGGCUAACUCCGUG
rnacentral:rRNA from 1 species